AAAAAUUAAAAAAAGCAAAGCCACAUGUGUAUUUUAAAAAUUAAAAUUAAAAAUUAAAAAAAAGGUAAGGGCAAAGGAUGGAACGUGACUAAUUCCAGAAACAACAUAUUCAUCCCCUUCACUAACAUAUUCAUCAUUCUUCCACUAAAAAUUCUAGAAACACAAGACACUACCUCCUCCACUCUCUUCUCUCAAAAACACAACACAGGAAUAGCCAUCGUAGUCAUCAUCUUCACCUUCAACCUCAUAUUAUUCAUCCUUCACGAACCAAUUAACGGUGUCGUUAACGGUCACGGUCCAGAUUCCGAUGACAGUUUUGUUAGCGGUGAAGAGGAGUCUGAACGUUCCAGACCAAUUCUCGUUAAUCCAAACGCCGUCAAAUCCAGCGUUGUUGAAGAAGAGAGUAUGGUGGCGCCGAUUCUGAUGGUGGUUGAUGUUGAUGAUGUUGAUGGGUUUGAAUAUGUGAAGAUAAUGAUUGAUGGUGGCAUUGACGAGUGCGGUGGCGCCGGAGGUGGAGAAUAUGUUUGUGGUUGUGGUGUUGAGAACAAAUUCAGAAUUCAUAGUUCUGGGAAGUUAAUUUGGGAUUUUUGUGGGUUUUGAAUUUUUUAGAGGAGAGGAGAUUGAAGAACAACAUGAAUAAGAAGGAGAUGAAGAUGGUGUUGUUGGGUGAAAACUGAAAACCAUGAGAUAUUCACGUGGCUGUACCUUUUCCAUUUUUUUUUAUUUAUUUAAUUAUGUAAAUAAUUAGCUGGUUUUUUUUUAA